ensembl:lncRNA
AUGGAAGGAAAAACAUUGCAGUUUGCUUUUGGAGUUACAUGUGUUGCCCUGUUUUUAAAAACUGAUCACAUGGCCAUUUCAUUUUUUUAUCCACGGCAAAAAGUUGCAAUUCUUUACUGUUUUAAUUGUAAAUUAUUUUUUGUGAAAGUUGAUUUAACACAUUUUUGUACAAUAACACACUCUGAUUUGGGGUAUUUAUUUGUAUGCUUUCCAACAUCCUCCACUGUCUGCUGUGAUGUUAGAGCCUGGGGCCCCGAUGAAGCAUCCAUCGAGCUCACCGGGGACACGUUCAAAGAUGAGAGGGCUCCGUCAGUGAAGGAGUACAACGUGAUCGAAGAACGAGGCUUCAUGCUGCGCAACCUGCUGCUCCGCCUGGUUGAUUUAUGCUCAUCCUCGGCACCCCGGUGGACGAGAAGAACUGUCGGCAUACGCAGUCAAGGCCUCAUACCUGAUGGUGUGUGCUGA